UGAUAGAAAUUUAAACACUUUUUAAAGUAUCAAUUGGAGGGCAAGUCUGGUGCCAGCAGCCGCGGUAAUUCCAGCUCCAAUAGCGUAUAUUAAAAUUGUUGCAGUUAAAAAGCUCGUAGUUGAAUUUCUGUUAAAAAUAACCGGUCUGCUUUUAUUAAAAGUGGUAUCUUGGUGUGUUUUUAGCAAUAAUGUCCUUUGAAAUGUUUUUUACUUUAUUGUAAUAAGUCAUUAUUUUGAGGAUUUUUACUUUGAGAAAAUUAGAGUGUUUCUAGCAGGCUUACGCUUUUGAAUACUGCAGCAUGGAAUAAUAAGAUAGGAUUUUAGUUCUACAUUAUUGGUUUUAAGAACUAAAUUAAUGAUUGAUAGGGAUAGUUGGGGGCAUUUGUAUUUAACUGUCAGAGGUGAAAUUCUUAGAUUUGUUAAAGACAAACUACUGCGAAAGCAUUUGCCAAAGAUGUUUUCAUUAAUCAAGAACGAAAGUUAGGGGAUCGAAG
rnacentral:rRNA from 1 species